GUGUGUCGGUGUGUGUGUGUGUGUGUGUGUGUGGAGGUGUAAGUGUGCUUUUUACUAAAUUCAGCACUGGUGAUCACUCCCGUGGGUGACCUCAGCCCUUUACCAUUGGAGAGUGCUGCCGGCAGUAGGUGAUGAGGAUUCAAUGUGACUUUUAAAUGGUGAAACAAUUGUGAAAAUAAAUUUUGUACUUUCAUGCUUUA